ACCACGGCCAUCGCCGGCUCCGACCACCCCGAACCCGGCUCGGCGGCGGCGCUCAGACCGGAACGUCUCCAUGCCCCGCGGCAAGAGCACCCGGGCGUCCCAUCCUCCCCAAAUUCCCCUUCUCCGAAACGAGAAGGUACGGGACGAGAUUGGAGGCGGCGCCGCGGUGUACAGCACCAUUGCGCCCACCGACAGUUACUCGAUUAGGAUGAGCGCCUCGGCGAGUCGGCGUGGCCCUCAUCGUCUACCUCGUCUUCACUCACCUCCCGCACAGGUUGAAUUGCAUGGCAGUGAAAUGUUCUUGCACAGACAUUACUGCAGCCUGGAGCGUCAGACUUGACUUGAUCAAUUAGCUGUGCCUUUUCCUACUUGAAUAGAUGGAGAUGAUUGUGAGAGCUACAUGGAAAGGAAAUCACAUUGCAGCAGCAAGCCAUCCUUUAUCAUUAGAAAGGGAUCAUCGUGGACGAGGAGUACGUCAUCAUGGGAUCAGCCAGCAUAAACCGGAGGUCCAUGGACGGCUUCAGCGACACAGGAGCAGCAUGGUCGGGCUGCUGCCGGGGCACACGAGAUCUUCCCCGACUUCGGCGGCAAGGUCCUCGGCACGCAGUCGUCGCUUGAUGCUUUCCCAAUGCCCUGACCGCGUAGUCAUGCACGAGCACGACGAGCUAAUGUGAAAUGUUGGUUGUACAUUACUUGUAGGAGUUUAUGAUUUAGUAUACAGAUCAGACGAGAUUGCUGCCGUCUUGUCCUUACGAUGUCUCUGACUGAUCAGAUGUUCAAGUCAACAUGCCUUAACAAGCCACACCUUUCACUCUGCAUCAUUCAUCUUACAAAGAUUCUUUCUUUAGAACAUCUGACAGAGAUUGUUAAGAAGACAAAUCAUUAUCAU